rnacentral:tRNA from 1 species
GCGCACUUGGUGAAGUGGUUAACACACUAGAUUGUGGCUCUAGCAUGCGUGGGUUCGAUUCCCACAGUGCGCCCCA